rnacentral:rRNA from 1 species
CAGCAGCCGCGGUAAUACGGAGGAUCCAAGCGUUAUCCGGAUUUAUUGGGUUUAAAGGGUGCGUAGGUGGCCUGUUAAGUCAGGGGUGAAAGACGGUAGCUUAACUAUCGCAGUGCCCUUGAUACUGAUGGGCUUGAAUGAACUAGAGGUAGGCGGAAUGUGACAAGUAGCGGUGAAAUGCAUAGAUAUGUCACAGAACACCAAUUGCGAAGGCAGCUUACUAUGGUUUUAUUGACACUGAGGCACGAAAGCGUGGGGAUCAAACAGGAUUAGAUACCCCCGUAGUCCCUGUCUCUUAUAC